rnacentral:rRNA from 1 species
UGCUUCUCUUGAGAGCGGCGGACGGGUGAGUAAUGCCUAGGAAUCUGCCUGGUAGUGGGGGAUAACGUUCGGAAACGGACGCUAAUACCGCAUACGUCCUACGGGAGAAAGCAGGGGACCUUCGGGCCUUGCGCUAUCAGAUGAGCCUAGGUCGGAUUAGCUAGUUGGUGGGGUAAUGGCUCACCAAGGCGACGAUCCGUAACUGGUCUGAGAGGAUGAUCAGUCACACUGGAACUGAGACACGGUCCAGACUCCUACGGGAGGCAGCAGUGGGGAAUAUUGGACAAUGGGCGAAAGCCUGAUCCAGCCAUGCCGCGUGUGUGAAGAAGGUCUUCGGAUUGUAAAGCACUUUAAGUUGGGAGGAAGGGUUGUAGAUUAAUACUCUGCAAUUUUGACGUUACCGACAGAAUAAGCACCGGCUAACUCUGUGCCAGCAGCCGCGGUAAUACAGAGGGUGCAAGCGUUAAUCGGAAUUACUGGGCGUAAAGCGCGCGUAGGUGGUUUGUUAAGUUGGAUGUGAAAUCCCCGGGCUCAACCUGGGAACUGCAUUCAAAACUGACUGACUAGAGUAUGGUAGAGGGUGGUGGAAUUUCCUGUGUAGCGGUGAAAUGCGUAGAUAUAGGAAGGAACACCAGUGGCGAAGGCGACCACCUGGACUAAUACUGACACUGAGUGCGAAAGCGUGGGGAGCAAACAGGAUUAGAUACCCUGGUAGUCCACGCCGUAAACGAUGUCAACUAGCCCGUUGGGAAGCCUUGAGCUUUUAGUGGCGCAGCUAACGCAUUUAAGUGACGCCUGGG